CAGCACAUCAUGCCACCCUAUGGUACGCCACGCACCCAUAUGUUGCAAUGUAUCCCCAUGUGGCAUAUAUGCUCAUCCAUCUAUGCCUCCGGGAUCUUAUCCUUUCAGUCCUUUUGCUAUGCCUUCUCCUAAUGGCAUGGCUGAGGCUUCUGGGAAUAUGCCUAGCAGCAUGGAAGCAGAUGGCAAGUUGUCCUGAGG